AGUGAACGCUGGCGGUAGGCCUAACACAUGCAAGUCGAACGGCAGCACAGUAAGAGCUUGCUCUUACGGGUGGCGAGUGGCGGACGGGUGAGGAAUACAUCGGAAUCUACUUUUUCGUGGGGGAUAACGUAGGGAAACUUACGCUAAUACCGCAUACGACCUACGGGUGAAAGCAGGGGAUCUUCUGACCUUGCGCGAUUGAAUGAGCCGAUGUCGGAUUAGCUAGUUGGCGGGGUAAAUGCCCACCAAGGCGACGAUCCGUAGCUGGUCUGAGAGGAUGGUCAGCCACACUGGAACUGAGCCACGGUCAAGACUCCUACGGGAGGCAGCAGUGGGGAAUAUUGGACAGUGGGCGCAAGCCUGAUCCAGCCAUACCGCGUGGGUGAAGAAGGCCUUCGGGUUGUAAAGCCCUUUUGUUGGGAAAGAAAAGCAGCAGGUUAAGACCCCGCUGUUCUGACGGUACCCAAAGAAUAAGCACCGGCUAACUUCGUG
rnacentral:rRNA from 1 species